rnacentral:rRNA from 1 species
GGAUUGGAGUCUGCAACUCGACUCCAUGAAGUCGGAAUCGCUAGUAAUCGUAGAUCAGAAUGCUACGGUGAAUACGUUCCCGGGCCUUGUACACACCGCCCGUCACACCAUGGGAGUGGGUUGCAAAAGAAGUAGGUAGCUUAACCUUCGGGAGGGCGCUUACCACUUUGUGAUUCAUGACUGGGGUGAAGUCGUAACAAGGUAACCGUAGGGGAACCUGCGGUUGGAUCACCUCCUUA